rnacentral:rRNA from 1 species
GCAUGGCGCAGCUACACAUGCAGUCGAACGGCAGCACAGAAGAGCUUGCUCUUUGGGUGGCGAGUGGCGGACGGGUGAGUAAUGUCUGGGAAACUGCCCGAUGGAGGGGGAUAACUACUGGAAACGGUAGCUAAUACCGCAUAACGUCGCGAGACCAAAGUGGGGGACCUUCGGGCCUCACACCAUCGGAUGUGCCCAGAUGGGAUUAGCUAGUAGGUGGGGUAAUGGCUCACCUAGGCGACGAUCCCUAGCUGGUCUGAGAGGAUGACCAGCCACACUGGAACUGAGACACGGUCCAGACUCCUACGGGAGGCAGCAGUGGGGAAUAUUGCACAAUGGGCGCAAGCCUGAUGCAGCCAUGCCGCGUGUAUGAAGAAGGCCUUCGGGUUGUAAAGUACUUUCAGCGGGGAGGAAGGCGGUGAGGUUAAUAACCUUGCCGAUUGACGUUACCCGCAGAAGAAGCACCGGCUAACUCCGUGCCAGCAGCCGCGGUAAUACGGAGGGUGCAAGCGUUAAUCGGAAUUACUGGGCGUAAAGCGCACGCAGGCGGUCUGUUAAGUCAGAUGUGAAAUCCCCGGGCUUAACCUGGGAACUGCAUUUGAAACUGGCAGGCUUGAGUCUCGUAGAGGGGGGUAGAAUUCCAGGUGUAGCGGUGAAAUGCGUAGAGAUCUGGAGGAAUACCGGUGGCGAAGGCGGCCCCCUGGACGAAGACUGACGCUCAGGUGCGAAAGCGUGGGGAGCAAACAGGAUUAGAUACCCUGGUAGUCCACGCCGUAAACGAUGUCGACUUGGAGGUUGUGCCCUUGAGGCGUGGCUUCCGGAGCUAACGCGUUAAGUCGACCGCCUGGGGAGUACGGCCGCAAGGUUAAAACUCAAAUGAAUUGACGGGGGCCCGCACAAGCGGUGGAGCAUGUGGUUUAAUUCGAUGCAACGCGAAGAACCUUACCUGGCCUUGACAUCCAGAGAACUUAGCAGAGAUGCUUUGGUGCCUUCGGGAACUCUGAGACAGGUGCUGCAUGGCUGUCGUCAGCUCGUGUUGUGAAAUGUUGGGUUAAGUCCCGCAACGAGCGCAACCCUUAUCCUUUGUUGC